GAUGAACGCUGGCGGCGUGCCUAAUGCAUGCAAGUCGAGCGAACGGACGAGAAGCUUGCUUCUCUGAUGUUAGCGGCGGACGGGUGAGUAACACGUGGAUAACCUACCUAUAAGACUGGGAUAACUUCGGGAAACCGGAGCUAAUACCGGAUAAUAUUUUGAACCGCAUGGUUCAAAAGUGAAAGACGGUCUUGCUGUCACUUAUAGAUAGAUCCGCGCUGCAUUAGCUAGUUGGUAAGGUAACGGCUUACCAAGGCAACGAUGCAUAGCCGACCUGAGAGGGUGAUCGGCCACACUGGAACUGAGACACGGUCCAGACUCCUACGGGAGGCAGCAGUAGGGAAUCUUCCGCAAUGGGCGAAAGCCUGACGGAGCAACGCCGCGUGAGUGAUGAAGGUCUUCGGAUCGUAAAACUCUGUUAUUAGGGAAGAACAUAUGUGUAAGUAACUGUGCACAUCUUGACGGUACCUAAUCAGAAAGCCACGGCUAACUACGUG
rnacentral:rRNA from 1 species